UCAAAUCGUGCCGAGCCCACAUAAACAGAAUCUCAGCCUGUCUGUUCUCUGUUUGGACUACUCCCCACCGGCCAGUGGCCGCCGCGCCGUCGUCCGCCGCACCACUCCAUCUCCGAUCUCCCUGAGUCGCUGGGAGGGCUCCAGCAUGGUCCGGCGAGGAGCCACGACCCGCGGCACAUCGACAUAUCGGCGGCGGGAAUGGUGUGCUUUGUCGCCGUCGUGGGGGGGCACGGCCUGGAAGCGGAUCUCCAUUGCCGCAGUCGUCUCCAAGGUCUCGGGCGACAAGCGCUUCGAUCUAUUUGUGACCGAGAAAUUGGAGCUCGAACAGCCAUGGCGGAACCCGUGGGCGAACGAGCAAUGCCCCCCAACCCCGGCGUCACAGCAAGGUCCUGACGAUGUUGGAAAACCAUAAAUGUAGUGCCUCAGUUUUAUCAUUGAAUUGGACUAAUCACUAAUGGGAUUUCUAGGUAGUACUUCAUUUUGCAAAAGAUGAAAAGAUUAAACUUGGUCGAAGUCACUUGGCACAAAUGAUGCUAACAAGGGGCGCGAGGUACAUUGGAGGGAGCCAGCACUGACUGGAAGCAGGUCUCCAGUGGCACAGGCCUCUACAAGGUCUCCGAUGGCUUGUUGAGCAAUCCGACCCCAAUAUCCUGGAGCUUUCUGGCUGUUAGCUUCCCUUCCAUCUCAGUUUACCAUGGGAAGACCUUACCUUCCUAGAUUGUGCACUACUCAUGUUGACUUCAGUAUUAUCUCAUACAUGAUCCUCUUCUCUCUGUUGAAUACUUGAAUUUGGUGAUGUUCAAAUUACUUCAAUAUUAAUUAACUCUGCUGAUGCCUGUUAGUACUGAACAACUUAUCAUUUUGGAAACCAUGGCUGUAAUCUUCUCCAAAGAUAAAAUUUACAGUCAAGAAUUUCUGCUUAUUCAAUUAAGAAGAAUAGAAAGAAGCACUCAUAGAGGUUCUCAGUUACAAUUUGGAUGAAAUGGAUGCCACAACUAACAGUAAUAAAAUUGCUAGAACUAGUUAUGAUUCAUUUUCUUAGAUACAUUUUAUCAGGACAUAAUUAUAGGUAUCCAUGGAUUAGUCUUCUAUCUCCUUGGAUUGCCCCCCUCCCAGUGUAUAAUGCCAUUUCUUUUUUGGACAGAUUGUGCCAGUUGAAUCUAUCCAUCAAGGCCAAAUCAUGAGCAACCAAUUUUCCAUGUAUGAAUGAAGAAUUUACACUUUUUGGCUAAAUGGAUUGUAGUCUCAUCCUCCAUGAUCCACAAGUGAGCAAGAUGAAUUACAUGGCCAUCCCAUGAAGGUUAACCUCAUUUUUAUCAGUGAAUUGAAUUUUGAGGAUAGUACUUCAGUUUGCAGAAGAUGUUCAUAUCAAACUUGGUGUAAGUCACUCGGCACAAGUGCUGCUGGCAAGAUAGUAGAGAGUAGAGAAACAAGGCUGGACUGGAGAGUACCCCAGUACAAUGUAAAACAACUGCUGGCUAGGCUCGUCGAAACUCUAGGACAUAUAUGACCCGUUUGCGUAAGUGGAGGUGACACAUCUUGCUGGAGUUGGCUUGUAGACAAUAACCCAACUGAGUUUUUAGAAAAUUGUGGCAGUGUAGUAUUUUGCUGCUCGCUUUAGAUUGCAGUUAAUCAGUUUCAAAGGAAUCAUACUGUUAAUCGGUUGAGCACAGAAGGAGAGGCCCUGGACCAUGGUGGCAUAUCGGAUGGGAGAUGAUGUAGAUGGCAUUUUCAGAUCAGUGGCUGAAUAUAUCAUCGGUGAUGGAGCUGAUAACAGAUACUGGACGACAAAUUGGACGGGAAAUGGUUGCUUCGCCUGGAGGUGGCCUAUCCUGUACUCCUAUGUAGGACACUCCAGGUUGUCGGUCGCCCAGGCCAUGGUUAAUCAUAGAUGGGUGCGAGAUUUGCAGGGUUCCUUGUUCAAUGAAGCCUUGGGUGACUUCUUUCAGCUUUGGGACGAGGUUCAUGAUGUGGCUCUACAGCCUAAUGCAGAUGCAAUCAGAUUGAAACUGACUGGAGAUAGGGCAAUUCUCGGCUGCCUCGGCAUAUGAUC